rnacentral:rRNA from 1 species
AGCGAACGCUGGCGGCAGGCCUAACACAUGCAAGUCGAACGAACUCUUCGGAGUUAGUGGCGGACGGGUGAGUAACACGUGGGAACGUGCCUUUAGGUUCGGAAUAACUCAGGGAAACUUGUGCUAAUACCGAAUGUGCCCUUCGGGGGAAAGAUUUAUCGCCUUUAGAGCGGCCCGCGUCUGAUUAGCUAGUUGGUGAGGUAAAGGCUCACCAAGGCGACGAUCAGUAGCUGGUCUGAGAGGAUGAUCAGCCACAUUGGGACUGAGACACGGCCCAAACUCCGAGGGAGGGGGGGGGGGGGGAGUCUGGCGGAAGGGAGGAAGACGAAGCGAAGCCGGGCGGGGGAAAUCGGGAGGUUUGUAGUAUAGAAAAUUUCUUUCGCAGGGAGCGAAAGUGACGGUACCCGGAGAAGAAGCCCCGGCAAACUUCGUG